rnacentral:rRNA from 1 species
UACGUAGGUGGCAAGCGUUGUCCGGAUUUAUUGGGUUUAAGGGUGCGUAGGCGGUUUUGUAAGUCAGUGGUGAAAUACUCUAGCUUAACUAGAGGGGUGCCAAUGAUACUGCGGAACUUGAGUACAGAUGAGGUAGGCGGAAUUGACGGUGUAGCGGUGAAAUGCAUAGAUAUCGUCAAGAACACCGAUAGCGAAGGCAGCUUACUGGGCUGCAACUGACGCUGAUGCACGAAAGUGUGGGGAUCAAACAGG